AAGGUACGUCAGGUGAUUGCUUGAAUAAAGUGUUCAAGAGGAAAGUCUGGGCUGCAAUGAGGCAUGGUUCCGUCUAACGGACGGCUGGGGUAACCCAAGGGAAAGUGCAACAGAGAAUAGACUACCCUUUACAUGUAAAGGGAAAAGGUGAAACGGCGGGGUAAGAGCCCACCAGAGUUUUGAGUAAUCAUAACUGCUUUGUAAACCCAACCUGCAGCAAGAAUGGAUUGGUCAGCCUCAUAAUAUUACCAUUCGCUAGAGUGUUAUCGUAAGAUAACAAGUAGAUAAAUAGUCACCCAACGACAUGACCC
rnacentral:RNase_P_RNA from 1 species